rnacentral:lncRNA from 1 species
AGGAAAGAAACAGAAUAGCAGGGGACGAAAUAGAGAAGGGAGAAAGGAAGAAAAGAAAAAGGGAAAAAUAAGGUUUUAAAGGUUCCAAGUUAAUUUGGUAAGUCAAUUUAACCCCUUUUCUUAUGAUUUUUGAGUUUUUGGAAUCCUAGAGAUAAAUACUACUUGUUUUAAGUGGAAAUUUUGAAAGUUAUGAGAUUUCUAAGCAUGGUUCAUGUUGAAGAAAAAGAUAAAUUAAGGAUGGAAUUGAAUAAAUUUUAAGUUAGAAUUAAUAAAGGAUUAAAUUGUAAGUUAAGCUAUAAGUUUUGUAUUAGAGGGAUUAAAUUAAAAGAAAUUUUAAAUUAGAGUUAUAUUAUGAAUACUUGAUAGUUAGGAUGAAUAUGGAAGAAAAUGAAUAGAAUUGAAGUAUGAAAUAAAUAUAUGAAUUUUCGACUAGCAAGAGUUUUAUUGGGUUUUUCACACAGGAAGAAAAAAAAGAGAAAAGAACUAAGUUAUCCGGAUGAAAUAUGAAGCUCUUGUUGAAACUAGAGUAAUAAAGUAAUAUAUUCGGAUGAAACAUAAAGUUCUUGAUGAAGCCAGAACAACAAAGUAAUAAUUCCGGAUAAAGUAUGAAGAAAAUUUGGGAGUUGCAACCAAACGAACAUUAGGCAUAAAUUGAGUAGAAAUUUAAUUAAUUAUUUAAAUUAAUGUUGUAAUUAAUAAUGUAUAUUGUUAUGAUUUUUAGCUAACAAGGAAAACGAGGCAUCGGCAUCUAAAGGAAAAGAAAAGAUCGUUGAUGAGUUAGCUCGAGAAAAUAUGGUUUGUAUUUCUAUAAUCCGAACUCAGUCAUUAUUUGUUAUAUUUAUAUACAUAUGACAAUUGUUAGUGUUAGAAUUAUGAUGUUUUACAAUUGAAAUGGAUUGAUUUUGGUAUGUGAUGAAUUUAUCAAAUUUAUAUUGAAUGAAAUCAUUUUGAUUGAAUUUAUAUUGAUUGAAAUAUAUAAUAAUAUAUGAUUUAUGUAAAAAUUUGAAUAUUGAAUGAAUGUUAUAUUGAAAAAUUAUAUUGAUUGGAAAUAUGAGGAAAUUGAUAUGGAUAUAUGAGAUUGUGAUAUUUGAAUAUUUGAUAUUGAAAAGUGAAUUGAAUUGUAUUGAAUUAUGAAUUAAUGUGAAUAAUUGAAAUAUAUUUGUUGAAUUGAAUGAAAUUGUAUGAAUUGUGAAAAUGGAUGAAUAUAUGUGAUUAUCAGAAUGGUAUAUUGAUGAAAUAAUUAUUAAAUUGAGAAAAUGAAUGAAAUACCCUAUUAACUAGUCGGACUGAGUCGGAUAUAAUUGGCAUGUCAUAGGAUUUGAAAGUGUAUGGGAUUUGCCGGCUUUACCGAUCAGGCACUUUAUGCAUCGUAUUUUAGGCACCUCGUGUGUCGUGUCAGGCACCUCGUGUGUCGUUUUAGGCACUUUAUGUGUUGUAUACUGAUCAGGUACUAUGUAUCGUUUUAGGUACAAUGUGCCGUAUUGGUGUGUUUGGGUUGGAAUCCGUGUAUCCGUCAAAGUCCGGGUUUGUUAAUAGGGGUAAAUAAGUGAAAAGAUAAAUCGAGUGAAUUUGAUUGAUUGAGCUAUUGGAAUGAAAUGAGAAAUUGAAUUGAGAAUUGAAAUUUAGAUAUGAGAUUGAAAAUAUGAACCAAAGGUUCAUGAAAUGAUUGGAGUUCGAAUUGAUGAUAUAUGAUGCCACUUGAUGAAUUGAAAUGUGAUUUGAGAUAUAUGAAUCAUAUGUAUAUAGUGAAAGCUAUCAGAGAUAGUAAGUUGAUAUGAAAUAAAUAAAAUUGACUGUUAUUGAAAUGAAUUAAAAUGGAAUAUAAUUGAUAAAUGCAUAGUUGAAUAUAGUUUAUUGAUAUUGAAUUGUGAAUAAAUUAAGGAAAGCUAUACCGAAUAGUAAGAGAAGAAUGAAGUAAAUAAUAAUGGAUUUAUUUAAGAAUUGAACAAUUAUGUUAUUGUGAUUAUUAUAUGAUUUGUAUAAAAUUUAUAUGGUAAGUAGUUGAAAUUUAUCUAUGAAAUAAAUAAUUGAAUAAUUGUAAUUGUUAUUAUGAUCUUAAGUAUUUGUUUUAUUAUUAAAUGUUCAGAUUAUAGAAAUACCACUGAGUAUACCAUACUCGGCGUACGGUUUGUUUCAGUGCGCAGGUUAAGUAAAGAUAGGACGUUGAAUCAGCAUCUCAGGCCGAUCCCGAAUUCAAUGAGGUAAAGUGUGUUAAUUAUGGGUAAUGGUAUGUACCUAGGAUGCCUUGUGUGUGUGUCAUUUUGAAAUUGUAAAUGUAAGGAUGAAAUAAAUAAAUUUAGGUUUGGUUAUGGUAUAAAAUAGGAUUUGACUAAUUUGGUAUGAAUUUGAAUUUUUGUGAGACAAUAUCAGAUUGAUUUUGGAAUUCCCUAUUCUGAAUUGGAAAAAUCAUUAAAAAUUGUAUAAAAAUAAUUACGG